rnacentral:tRNA from 1 species
UGGCUUAGUAGGUAAAGAAUCUGCCUGCCAUGCAGGAGAUUCAGGUUCAAUCCCUGG